UGCUAGGGCGUGCCGGUGCGUUAAUCUUGCCUACUGGUUUGGCUUCUCCUUCCCGUCCCGGGGCGGCUAGCGGUGCGGUGUACGGCCUCGGCGCCCUCCUGUCCUUCCUGAGGUGUAUGGCUAUGUGAGGAGCUGAAGCAUGCAUCGUCGUGGUUGAUCCUCUCUCAAGUGGAGGAGAGGCCUUGUGUGUGCUUGCCCGCAGAGUGUGCGGAUUGGAGUUGUGACUGUGUCGCCGCCAUGGUUCCCGGCUCCUCCACACGUAGUUGAUGCCAUUCACAGCACAUCCAUCUAUGGAUGAUUUGGUUUCCUCACGUAUCAUGCUUGCAAAGUAACAAGGAGAACCCCAAUGAAGCCAAGAGGAGAAAAACUAAUAUACUCAUGUGUGCUUCAAAUCAAGAUGCUGCCACUGCAACUAAUGGAUUUGACCAAGGUUUCUACUGAUGUCGGUUGCAAUUACCCAACUAUGGAUGUAUCUGUACAAGCUGACAGAGCUUCAAGUGCUGAACAUUUCGUUUACAUGAUGCAACACUUAGUUCCCAUUUGUCAUGUAGUAUCUGUAGACUCUAUGUUGUAUGGUAGUGUUAGUGUAGUCUUUUUAUUUUGUUGGAGAUGCCUUUCUAUUGGUAGUAUUGUAAGUUGCUACAUGUGUGUUCACUUACAGUGUACCACUUUUUACUGCCUCCAAAUAAUGUUGUUGUCUGUACUUUUGGGCCCAUCCUGGAGAAACAAUUUCUCUAUCGUUUGCAUUUCACUCUUA